rnacentral:misc_RNA from 1 species
AAAACUAGUGUGGUGAAAGGAGUCCCUGUGGUGGAACCUAGUAACAAGUACUUCUGGUUCAAUCACCCUAACAUUAUUCUUUUCUUGAUACAUUUCACCUUGUUCCAGAAUUCAUUCCAGAUGGCUUACUUCUUGUGGAUAUGGUAUGAGUUCGGAUUGAAAUCAUGCUUCCAUGAAAACUUGCCAGAAAUUUUGACAAGAGUCAUUCUAGGUGUAGCCCUUCAAUUCUUAUGCAGCUAUAUCACCUUCCCUCUCUAUGCCCUAGUCACUCAGAUGGGAUCUCACAUGAAGAAGGCAAUCUUUGAAGAGCAAACAGCAAAAGCUUUGAAAAAAUGGCAGAAGGCAGCAAGGGAGAGAAACAAGCUGAGGAAGACUACUGCAACAGCAGAAGCUUCAACUGGGUUUAGGAGUCCAGAUCAGAUAAGUACCCCAAGCAGAGGCACUUCACCAAUGCAUUUGCUUCACAAGUACAAAAGCAACAACUCUGUAGACCUGGAAAGUGUUCUGACUUCUCCUAGAGCUUCUAACUAUUCUGAAACAGAAUUGUCAGAGACUGAAGGUCCUUCUCCAUCCUCCACCUCCAGGGAUGGCCAUGAACCCAGAAGAGAAAACCCUCCUAAAGAAAUUGUAGCGAUUCAUUGUGAUGAUUUCUCUUUCGCUAAUCUCUGAAAUUCAUACCAUAU